CUGUUCUAGGAUAAAAGGGGAUAAGUAGGUUUAAAUAGUGGUAGAGGAAAAAAAGAGACUUUUGACCUACAGAAAAGGAGUAAGGCAGGUGUUGCAAAGGAGGAAUGUAGAGAGAAAGCACAGUGAUUUUGGCAGCUGAUGGAAAAAGAGGGGAACUCAGGAAUUAAUGGGUGAUGUUUAGCAGGUGUGGUUGAUGCUGCUGGUGCCUCGCCCAGGCCCUCUAUACCUACCAGAGCACCAGAGCCCAGAUGUAACAGUGUUGGCUGAUAAUAACUGACCCAUCCCCCUUCUCCAAAUGGAAGCCACUGUCCCUAGAAGGUUAGCCUACCCUCCCUUCACUCCAGGAGGCAGCCCAGGGGUACAAAAAGCUUGGUUCUUUUGCCUCAAGAUGAGAAGAUAGGAUCAACUUUGUGGUGUAAUUCAUGUUCCAGAGCCUCUUGUGCAAUCAAUCUGAGACUCAAUUCUGAUGAAAUCCCCAUUCUUGCCUAGUCUUCUAUUCCCCCUCUUACUCAUCUUCCCCCGAAGUACUCUCCCACACAUCUCCUAACAAGAAUCCCAUCUCAGAUUCUGCUACGAGGACACCUGACCUAAGACAGGAAGAUUUACACUGUACCUGUGAUGCUACCCACUUUCUCCAUGCUCCCUGUCCCAGGAAAUCUCAGGAAUGCAGGCAUAGUUGGCUACAUUGGCUCCUUCUCCAAUUCAAGAAGUAUAAAGGUCAAGCUGCCAAGUCGUCCUUUCAGAAUGGAAAUACAGACUCCUUUGGCCCUGAUAUUUCAAGCACAUACAUUUUCUUCUUCAAUGACACAGAAGUUGGCAUUCACUAGAGAUUCCAGCCAUGAGUUGACUGAAAUCCAGCUCCUCUUUCCAGAAGCUCAUCUGAGAAAUCUAAUAUUUGAGAUAGAUAAUCUAAUGGGCAUAUGAAUCAUCCAUUUCUUGGUAUUCUCUAAGUUCUAGUCUUGUAUUAAAUUAGAGAGACAAGCACCUGGACCAUAUUAUGUUAUCUCCCCCUCAUGAAACUGCCUCAACUAAGUUAAGAUUUAACACUAUGACCUCAGCAUUUAUA
rnacentral:lncRNA from 1 species